ACGGCGAGUGAAGCGGCAACAGCUCAAAUUUGAAAUCUGGCCUCACGGUCCGAAUUGUAAUUUGUAGAGGAUGUUUCUGGCGACGUGUCUUCCGAGUUCCCUGGAACGGGACGCCAUAGAGGGUGAGAGCCCCGUCCGGUCGUACACCUAGCCUCUGUGAAACUCCUUCGACGAGUCGAGUAGUUUGGGAAUGCUGCUCUAAAUGGGAGGUAUACGUCUUCUAAAGCUAAAUACCGGCCAGAGACCGAUAGCGCACAAGUAGAGUGAUCGAAAGAUGAAAAGCACUUUGAAAAGAGGGUUAAAUAGUACGUGAAAUUGCUGAAAGGGAAGCGCUUAUGACCAGACUUGGGCUCGGUGAAUCAUCCGGCGUUCUCGCCGGUGCACUUUGCCGUCCCAGGCCAGCAUCAGUUCGCGCCGGGGGAUAAAGGUUUCGGGAAUGUAGCUCCUUCGGGAGUGUUAUAGCCCGUUGCGUAAUACCCUGGCGUGGACUGAGGUCCGCGCUCUGCAAGGAUGCUGGCGUAAUGGUCAUCAGUGACCCGUCUU
rnacentral:rRNA from 1 species